GAUGAACGCUGGCGGCGUGCCUAAUACAUGCAAGUCGAGCGAACAGACGAGGAGCUUGCUCCUCUGACGUUAGCGGCGGACGGGUGAGUACCACGUGGAUAACCUACCUAUAAGACUGGGAUAACUUCGGGAAACCGGAGCUAAUACCGGAUAAUAUAUUGAACCGCAUGGUUCAAUAGUGAAAGACGGUUUUGCUGUCACUUAUAGAUGGAUCCGCGCCGCAUUAGCUAGUUGGUAAGGUAACGGCUUACCAAGGCAACGAUGCGUAGCCGACCUGAGAGGGUGAUCGGCCACACUGGAACUGAGACACGGUCCAGACUCCUACGGGAGGCAGCAGUAGGGAAUCUUCCGCAAUGGGCGAAAGCCUGACGGAGCAACGCCGCGUGAGUGAUGAAGGUCUUCGGAUCGUAAAACUCUGUUAUUAGGGAAGAACAAAUGUGUAAGUAACUAUACACGUCUUGACGGUACCUAAUCAGAAAGCCACGGCUAACUACGUG
rnacentral:rRNA from 1 species